UAAGGAAUAUUGGUCAAUGGACGCAAGUCUGAACCAGCCAUGCCGCGUGGAGGAUUAAGGCCCUCUGGGUUGUAAACUCCUUUUAUCUGGGAAGAAAUGUACUUUUUCUUGAGUACUUGACGGUACCAGAGGAAUAAGCACCGGCUAACUCCGUGCCAGCAGCCGCGGUAAUACGGAGGGUGCAAGCGUUAUCCGGAUUCACUGGGUUUAAAGGGUGCGUAGGUGGGCAGGUAAGUCAGUGGUGAAAUCUCCGAGCUUAACUUGGAAACUGCCGUUGAUACUAUAGGUCUUGAAUUAUCUGGAGGUAAGCGGAAUAUGUCAUGUAGCGGUGAAAUGCUUAGAUAUGACAUAGAACACCAAUUGCGAAGGCAGCUUACUACAUAUAAAUUGACGCUGAGGCACGAAAGCGUGGGGAUCAAACA
rnacentral:rRNA from 1 species